GAUGAACGCUGGCGGCGUGCUUAACACAUGCAAGUCGACCGGAAAGGCUCCUGCUUGCAGGGGUACUCGAGUGGCGAACGGGUGAGUAACACGUGGGUGAUCUGCCCUGCACUUCGGGAUAAGCCUGGGAAACUGGGUCUAAUACCGGAUAGGACCACAUUUUGGAUGGUGUGGUGGAAAGUUUUUCGGUGUGGGAUGAGCUCGCGGCCUAUCAGCUUGUUGGUGGGGUAAUGGCCUACCAAGGCGUCGACGGGUAGCCGGCCUGAGAGGGUGUACGGCCACAUUGGGACUGAGAUACGGCCCAGACUCCUACGGGAGGCAGCAGUGGGGAAUAUUGCACAAUGGGCGCAAGCCUGAUGCAGCGACGCCGCGUGGGGGAUGACGGCCUUCGGGUUGUAAACUCCUGUCGCUAGGGACGAAGCGUUUUUGUGACGGUACCUGGAGAAGAAGCACCGGCUAACUACGUG
rnacentral:rRNA from 1 species